AUUGAACGCUGGCGGCAUGCCUAACACAUGCAAGUCGAACGAACCCUUCAGGGUUAGUGGCGCACGGGUGCGUAACGCGUGGGAAUCUGCCCUUUGCUUCGGAAUAACAGUUAGAAAUGACUGCUAAUACCGGAUGAUGUCUUCGGACCAAAGAUUUAUCGGCAAAGGAUGAGCCCGCGUAGGAUUAGGUAGUUGGUGGGGUAAAGGCCUACCAAGCCGACGAUCCUUAGCUGGUCUGAGAGGAUGAUCAGCCACACUGGGACUGAGACACGGCCCAGACUCCGACGGGAGGCAGCAGUGGGGAAUAUUGGACAAUGGACGCAAGUCUGAUCCAGCAAUGCCGCGUGAGUGAUGAAGGCCUUAGGGUUGUAAAGCUCUUUUACCAGGGAUGAUAAUGACAGUACCUGGAGAAUAAGCUCCGGCUAACUCCGUGCCAGCAGCCGCCGUAACAC
rnacentral:rRNA from 1 species